rnacentral:rRNA from 1 species
UAGGGAAUCUUCGGCAAUGGACGAAAGUCUGACCGAGCAACGCCGCGUGAGUGAAGAAGGUUUUCGGAUCGUAAAACUCUGUUGUUAGAGAAGAACAAGGACGUUAGUAACUGAACGUCCCCUGACGGUAUCUAACCAGAAAGCCACGGCUAACUACGUGCCAGCAGCCGCGGUAAUACGUAGGUGGCAAGCGUUGUCCGGAUUUAUUGGGCGUAAAGCGAGCGCAGGCGGUUUCGUAAGUCUGAUGUGAAAGCCCCCGGCUCAACCGGGGAGGGUCAUUGGAAACUGGGAGACUUGAGUGCAGAAGAGGGGAGUGGAAUUCCAUGUGUAGCGGUGAAAUGCGUAGAUAUAUGGAGGAACACCAGUGGCGAAGGCGGCUCUCUGGUCUGUAACUGACGCUGAGGCGCGAAAGCGUGGGGAGCAAACAGG